GACGAACGCUGGCGGCGUGCUUAACACAUGCAAGUCGAACGGAAAGGCCCUGCUUUUGUGGGGUGCUCGAGUGGCGAACGGGUGAGUAACACGUGCGUAACCUGCCCUUGACUUUGGGAUAACUACAGGAAACUGGGGCUAAUACCGGAUAGGAGCUCCUGCUGCAUGGUGGGGGUUGGAAAGUUUCGGCGGUUGGGGAUGGACUCGCGGCUUAUCAGCUUGUUGGUGGGGUAGUGGCUUACCAAGGCUUUGACGGGUAGCCGGCCUGAGAGGGUGACCGGCCACAUUGGGACUGAGAUACGGCCCAGACUCCUACGGGGGGCAGCAGUGGGGAAUAUUGCACAAUGGGCGGAAGCCUGAUGCAGCAACGCCGCGUGCGGGAUGACGGCCUUCGGGUUGUAAACCGCUUUCGCCUGUGACGAAGCGUGAGUGACGGUAAUGGGUAAAGAAGCACCGGCUAACUACGUG
rnacentral:rRNA from 1 species